UGUAGACGUGGGCCAUACAGACAAACCUUUCCAUAUCAUCAAAACACUUUACAAGGACAAGUAGGAAACAUAUUUUAGUAUACAUGGUGGUUAAAAUUUGAACAAGACCAGUUAUGAAUAUCAUCUGCUAAAAGGAGUGACUGGUAGUCAUGACCACAUCAAUACAGACUCAACUAGGCCAUAUACUAACAGAGUUGACUCAACAGGCCAAGACAUAUAACAGAUUGACUCAACUAGGCCAGAUAUACUAACAGAGUUGACUCACUAGGCCAGACAUAUAACAGAGUUGACUCAACUAGGACAUAAUAAUAACAGAGUUGACUCAACUAGGACAUAUAUACUAACAGAGUUGACUCAACUAGGACAUAUAUACUAACAGAGUUGACUCAACUAGGACAGAUAUACUAAACAGAGUUGACAUCACUAGGACAGAUAUACAACAGAGUGACUCAUAGGACAGAUAUACUAACAGAGUUGACUCAACUAGGCCAUAUAUACUAACAGAGUUGACUCACUAGGCCAGACAUACUAACAGAGUUGACUCAACUAGGACAGAUAUACUAACAGAGUUGACUCAACUAAGGACAGAUUAUACUAACAGAGUUGACUCAACUAGGACAGAUUACUACAGAGUUGACUCAACUACGACAGAUGUUACUAACAGAGUUGACUCAACUGAGGCCAGACGUACUAACAGAGUUGACUCAACUUGGCCAGACGUACUAACAGAGUUGACUCAACUAGGCCAGACGUACUAACAGAGUUGACUCAACUAGGCCAGACGUACUAACAGAGUUGACUCAACUAGGCCAGACGUACUAACAGAGUUGACUCA
ensembl:lncRNA